rfam:Phalacrocorax carbo contig50517, whole genome shotgun sequence.
GUGCUUGCUUUGGCAGCACAUAUAUUAAAGUUGGCACAAUACAGAGAAGACUGGCCACUGCACAAGGAUGACAAGCAAAUUCAUGAAGCGUUCCAUAUUUUA